UAUAGUAUGAAGUCGCAUAUCUAAGGAUAAAUAUCGAAUAGGAUGAACAUCGCGUGAUAGCGAUGAACAAUAAAAACCCAAUUGCAGAUCUAUCCAAGAUUCAAGAUGGAUUCAUGAAACAAUGGUGUUCUUGAAAACAGUCUAUAAAUGGCGUGGACAUCAAACAAAGAAUUAGUUUUUUUUAUCAACCUCAAAGAAUGGAAACAGUCUAACAAACGCCGGUGCUUAUAUGGUUCGUAGUACCUGAUGGCGAUGACAAACAAUCAAAUGAUGUCACUCAAAAAAUCGGCUUGCUGUGACAUGUCUAUUUGGGCUUGCCUUUAAUUUUACUAUAAACAUGUUCAGAUACAACGUAUGGGGUGCAUCUUUAAUUGGUCAUCAUGCCUAUUACCUUUAUUCUACGGUGUCAA
rnacentral:lncRNA from 1 species